rnacentral:rRNA from 1 species
UACGUAGGUGGCAAGCGUUGUCCGGAAUUAUUGGGCGUAAAGCGCGUGUAGGCGGCUUUGCAAGUCGGGUGUGAAAGCCCUCAGCUCAACUGAGGAAGUGCGCCCGAAACUGCAGAGCUUGAGUACCGGAGAGGAUGGCGGAAUUCCCCAAGUAGAGGUGAAAUUCGUAGAUAUGGGGAGGAACACCGGUGGCGAAGGCGGCCAUCUGGACGGAUACUGACGCUGAGACGCGAAAGCGUGGGUAGCAAACAGG